rnacentral:rRNA from 1 species
AGAAUGUUUUCAUUGAUCAGAACGAAAGUCAGAGGUUCGAAGGCGAUCAGAUACCGCCCUAGUUCUGACCAUAAACGAUGCCAACCAGCGAUCCGCCUGAGUUACUCAAAUGACUCGGCGGGCAGCUUCCGGGAAACCAAAGUAUUUGGGUUCCGGGGGAAGUAUGGUUGCAAAGCUGAAACUUAAAGGAAUUGACGGAAGGGCACCACCAGGAGUGGAGCCUGCGGCUUAAUUUGACUCAACACGGGAAAACUUACCCGGCCCGGACACUGGGAGGAUUGACAGAUUGAGAGCUCUUUCUUGAUUCGGUGAUGGUGGUGCAUGGCCGUUCUUAGUUGGUGGAGCGAUUUGUCUGGUUAAUUCCGAUAACGAACGAGACUCUAGCCUAUUAAAUAGGUGCGGGGUUCCCAGCACCUUACAACCUUCUUAGAGGGACAAGCGGCUCCUAGCCGCACGAAACAGAGCAAUAACAGGUCUGUGAUGCCCUUAGAUGUCCGGGGCCGCACGCGCGCUACACUGAAGGAAGCAGCGUGUCUUUAUCCCUGUCUGAAAAGACUGGGUAACCCGUGGAACUUCUUUCGUGAUUGGGAUAGGGGCUUGCAAUUGUUCCCCUUGAACGAGGAAUUCCCAGUAAGCGCGAGUCAUAAGCUCGCGUUGAUUACGUCCCUGCCCUUUGUACACACCGCCCGUCGCUACUACCGAUUGAAUGAUUUAGUGAGGUCUUCGGACCGAUGUCCGGCGCGGCCUUUCGGUUGCGCCGGUCUUUAACAAGUAAUAACCUGGUGAUCCCAUCACUAAUAAGACCGUUCACAGAGUCCG